UUUUAUGGAGAGUUUGAUCCUGGCUCAGGAUGAACGCUGGCGGCGUGCCUAAUACAUGCAAGUCGAGCGAACGGACGAGAAGCUUGCUUCUCUGAUGUUAGCGGCGGACGGGUGAGUAACACGUGGAUAACCUACCUAUAAGACUGGGAUAACUUCGGGAAACCGGAGCUAAUACCGGAUAAUAUUUUGAACCGCAUGGUUCAAAAGUGAAAGACGGUCUUGCUGUCACUUAUAGAUGGAUCCGCGCUGCAUUAGCUAGUUGGUAAGGUAACGGCUUACCA
rnacentral:rRNA from 1 species